GUCCCGGUGUUUCUCAACACCACCAACGUAAAGCUGGAACAUGUAU
rfam:Volvox carteri f. nagariensis unplaced genomic scaffold VOLCAscaffold_33, whole genome shotgun sequence.